AGCGAACGCUGGCGGCAGGCUUAACACAUGCAAGUCGAGCGGGCAUAGCAAUAUGUCAGCGGCAGACGGGUGAGUAACGCGUGGGAACGUACCUUUUGGUUCGGAACAACACAGGGAAACUUGUGCUAAUACCGGAUAAGCCCUUACGGGGAAAGAUUUAUCGCCGAAAGAUCGGCCCGCGUCUGAUUAGCUAGUUGGUGAGGUAAUGGCUCACCAAGGCGACGAUCAGUAGCUGGUCUGAGAGGAUGAUCAGCCACAUUGGGACUGAGACACGGCCCAAACUCCUACGGGAGGCAGCAGUGGGGAAUAUUGGACAAUGGGCGCAAGCCUGAUCCAGCCAUGCCGCGUGAGUGAUGAAGGCCCUAGGGUUGUAAAGCUCUUUUGUGCGGGAAGAUAAGGAACGGUACCGCAAGAAUAAGCCCCG
rnacentral:rRNA from 1 species